rnacentral:rRNA from 1 species
UACGUAGGGUGCAAGCGUUUGUCCGGAAUUAUUGGGCGUAAAGAGCGUGUAGGCGGCCCCGUUAGUCCGCUGUGAAAGUCCAGGCUCAACUGGAAUGCCGGUGGAUACUGCGGGGCUAGAGUCCGGAAGGGGCGAGUGGAAUUCCUGGUGUAGCGGUGAAAUGCGCAGAUAUCAGGAGGAACACCGGUGGCGAAGGCGGGUCUCGUGGGCCGAUGAUUGACGCUGGAGGAGCGA